UACAGGGGGUGCAAACGUUGCUCGGAAUCAUUGGGCGUAAAGCGCACGUAGGCGGUUCGUUAUGUCGGAUGUGAAAGCCCUUGGCUUAACCGAGGAAGUGCAUCCGAAACUGGCGAGCUAGAGUACUAAAGAGGAUCGCGGAAUUCCCGGUGUAGAGGUGAAAUUCGUAGAUAUCGGGAGGAACACCGGUGGCGAAGGCGGCGAUCUGGGUAGAUACUGACGCUGAGGUGCGAAAGCUAGGGGAGCGAACUGG
rnacentral:rRNA from 1 species